rnacentral:rRNA from 1 species
UACGUAGGGGGCAAGCGUUGUCCGGAAUUAUUGGGCGUAAAGAGCGUGUAGGCGGUCCGGUAAGUCAGCUGUGAAAGUCAAGGGCUCAACCCUUGAAAGCCGGUUGAUACUGUCGGGCUAGAGUCCGGAAGAGGCGAGUGGAAUUCCCGGUGUAGCGGUGAAAUGCGCAGAUAUCGGGAGGAACACCAAUGGCGGAGGCAGCUCGCUGGGACGGUACUGACGCUGAGGUGCGAAAGCGUGGGGAGCAAACAGG